UACGGGGGGGGCAAGCGUUGUUCGGAAUUACUGGGCGUAAAGGGCUCGUAGGCGGCCAACUAAGUCAGACGUGAAAUCCCCAGGCUUAACCUGGGAACUGCGUCCGAUACUGGCAGGCUUGAAUCCGGGAGAGGGAUGCGGAAUUCCAGGUGUAGCGGUGAAAUGCGUAGAUAUCUGGAGGAACACCGGUGGCGAAGGCGGCAUCCUGGACCGGCAUUGACGCUGAGGCGCGAAAGCCAGGGGAGCAAACGGG
rnacentral:rRNA from 1 species